rnacentral:rRNA from 1 species
GCCAGACUCCUACGGGAGGCAGCAGUGGGGAAUAUUGCACAAUGGGGGGAACCCUGAUGCAGCGACGCCGCGUGGGUGAAGGAGCACCUCGGUGCGUAAAGCCCUAUCGGCAGGGAAGAAACAGACGGUACCUGACUAAGAAGCCCCGGCUAACUACGUGCCAGCAGCCGCGGUAAUACGUAGGGGGCAAGCGUUAUCCGGAUUCACUGGGUGUAAAGGGAGCGUAGACGGCGACGCAAGUCUGGAGUGAAAGCCCGGGGCCCAACCCCGGGACUGCUCUUGGAACUGCGCGGCUGGAGUACCGGAGAGGCAGGCGGAAUUCCUAGUGUAGCGGUGAAAUGCGUAGAUAUUAGGAGGAACACCAGUGGCGAAGGCGGCUUACUGGACUGUAAAUGACGCUGGGGCUCGAAAGCGUGGGGAGCAAACAGGAUUAGAUACCCGCGUAA